GAUCAGCCACACUGGAACUGACACACGGACCAGACUCCUACGGGAGGCAGCAGUAAGGAAUAUUGGUCAAUGGGCGCAAGCCUGAACCAGCCAUGCCGCGUGCAGGAAGACGGCCCUAUGGGUUGUAAACUGCUUUUGUCAGGGAAUAAACCCCCGCUCGUGAGCGGGGCUGAAGGUACCUGAAGAAUAAGCAUCGGCUAACUCCGUGCCAGCAGCCGCGGUAAUACGGAGGAUGCAAGCGUUAUCCGGAUUCAUUGGGUUUAAAGGGUGCGCAGGCGGAUUGGUAAGUCAGGGGUGAAAUCCCACAGCUCAACUGUGGAACUGCCUUUGAUACUGUCAGUCUAGAGUAUAGUUGAAGUUGGCGGAAUGUGUCAUGUAGCGGUGAAAUGCUUAGAUAUGACACAGAACACCGAUCGCGAAGGCAGCUAGCUAAGCUAUAACUGACGCUCAUGCACGAAAGCGUGGGGAUCAAACAGGAUUAGAUACCCUGGUAGUCCACGCUGUAAACGAUGAUUACUCGAUGUUGGCGAUACACAGUCAGCGUCUGAGCGAAAGCAAUAAGUAAUCCACCUGGGGAGUACGAUCGCAAGAUUGAAACUCAAAGGAAUUGACGGGGGCCCGCACAAGCGGAGGAGCAUGUGGUUUAAUUCGAUGAUACGCGAGGAACCUUACCUGGGCUCGAACGUAAGAUGACUGUAGGUGAAAGCUUACAUCUCUUCGGAGCAUUUUACGAGGUGCUGCAUGGUUGUCGUCAGCUCGUGCCGUGAGGUGUCGGGUUAAGUCCCAUAACGAGCGCAACCCCUACCUUUAGUUGCCAUCAGGUCAUGCUGGGGACUCUGAAGAUACUGCCCC
rnacentral:rRNA from 1 species